AUAUCAAACAGACCGAUGGAGGCCUACAGAUGGCCAACAGAUUGCAUUCCAGACUGGGCCUUCAUUCUAGGACUGGCCAGUGGGGGAGCAGAGAGAGUAGUCUCGUCUCGAUGGCUCUCUGGGGCUCUGGACGUAAAAACCUCUCAUCAUCACCAUCAUCCUCAGACAGAGGCUGUGUCAGGCACCUGAGACCAUGUUUUUCCAUCAGCGCUGAGCAGGGAUCAGAGUUUGAUCCCAUCAAUAUCUGCAGUGGCAUCAACAUCAAGCUCAGCACCAGGAACUAGUACCAAUCCUGCUGCUGAUGACGAUGACCUGGACACCAGCUUUAGUAGUACAGAGCCUGUAGACCCAUUGAAUGAAAGCUUUCAGCAUGGAAUAAGCCCAAUCUCAACAUCACCUGACGUGGAUACAAGCCAUGACAGC